GAUGAACGCUGGCGGCGUGCCUAAUACAUGCAAGUCGAACGAACAGACGAGGAGCUUUCUCCUCUUGCGUAAGCGGCGGGGGGGUGAGUAACACGUGUAUAACCUACCUAUAAGACUGGGAUAACUUCGUGAAACCGGUGGUAAUAGCGGCUAAUAUAUUGAACCGCAUGGUUGAAUAGUUAAAGACGGUUUUGCUUUCACUGAUAGCUGGUUCCGCGCCGCAUUAGCUAGUUGGUAGGGUAACGGCUUACCAAGGCAACGAUGCGUAGCCGACCUGAGAGGGUGAUCGGCCACACUGGAACUGAGACACGGUCCAGACUCCUACGGGAGGCAGCAGUAGGGAAUAUUCCGCAAUGGGCGAAAGCCUGACGGAGCAACGCCGCGUGAGUGAUGAAGGUCUUCGGAUCGUAAAACUCUGUUAGUAGGGAAGAACAAAUGUGUAAGUAAAUAUGCACGUAUUGACGGUACCUAAACAGAAAGCAACGGCUAACUACGUG
rnacentral:rRNA from 1 species